GCCUUUUUUAGUAAAUUUAAAAGAAGAACUGGCUUCAACGGAUGAAGAGAAAGCUGAGGUACUGAAUGAGUUCUUUGCCUUGGUCUUCACUGGUGGCCAGGAUUCCAGUCUUUCUCACGUCCCUGAGCCCUGCACCCCCAAGCCUCCAGAUCAGGACAGCAUCCACUCUUAUCUCAGGACUUCCUUGAAACGAUCUAAGACAGGCUACUCAGGUUUGCAUUGGGUUCGUGGAGCUGUCAGAAUAAAAACAUUCACGAUUCUGUGGAAGCUGCAGCAGCACCAAAAGGUCAUGUCUCUUGCGGUUUGGCAGAGGGAAACCAGUGAGACUGCAACAGAGAUAAAUUUAGCCCUAAUUAAAAGGUGUUAAGGAAAACCACCUCAGCACCCAGGAAUGAGGCAUCCUUGUAUGCAGUCUAUCAGUGUUCAAGAUGUUGACUUUAUCUGUGGGAACACAUGAAGAUUAGCAAUGUUCUCCUUUGUGCUCCACCACUAGAAUUCCCUGAGUUUGUGAGUCACUGUCAGCUGCUUACUAAAUAUAACCCCUCAACACUGGUUGGACUUGUAGUCAUGAUGGCAGAAUUACUG
ensembl:lncRNA